CCUACGGGUGGCAGCAGUGGGGAAUAUUGCACAAUGGGGGAAACCCUGAUGCAGCGACGCCGCGUGAGUGAAGAAGUAAUUCGUUAUGUAAAGCUCUAUCAGCAGGGAAGAAAAUGACGGUACCUGAGUAAGAAGCCCCGGCUAACUACUUGCCAGCAGCCGCGGUAAUAAGUAGGGGGCAAGCGUUAUCCGGAUUUACUGGGUGGAAAGUGAGCGUAGACGGCAGUGCAAGUCUGGAGUGAAAGGCGGGGGCUCAACCCCCGGACUGCUCUGGAAACUGUAAGGCUGGAGUGCAGGAGAGGUAAGUGGAAUUCCUAGUGUAGCGGUGAAAUGCGUAGAUAUUAGGAGGAACACCAGUGGCGAAGGCGGCUUACUGGACUGUAACUGACGUUGAGGCUCGAAAGCGUGGGGAGCAAACAGGAUUAGAUACCCCAGUAGUC
rnacentral:rRNA from 1 species